GCGGAAGGAUCAUUACCGAGUGCGGGCCCUCUGGGUCCAACCUCCCAUCCGUGUCUAUCUGUACCCUGUUGCUUCGGCGUGGCCACGGCCCGCCGGAGACUAACAUUUGAACGCUGUCUGAAGUUUGCAGUCUGAGUUUUUAGUUAAACAAUCGUUAAAACUUUCAACAACGGAUCUCUUGGUUCCGGCAUCGAUGAAGAACGCAGCGAAAUGCGAUAAUUAAUGUGAAUUGCAGAAUUCAGUGAAUCAUCGAGUCUUUGAACGCACAUUGCGCCCCCUGGUAUUCCGGGGGGCAUGCCUGUCCGAGCGUCAUUGCUGCCCUCAAGCACGGCUUGUGUGUUGGGCUUCCGUCCCUGGCAACGGGGACGGGCCCAAAAGGCAGUGGCGGCACCAUGUCUGGUCCUCGAGCGUAUGGGGCUUUGUCACCCGCUCCCGUAGGUCCAGCUGGCAGCUAGCCUCGCAACCAAUCUUUUUAACCAGGUUGACCUCGGAUCAGGUAGGGAUACCCGCUGAACUUAAGCAU
rnacentral:rRNA from 1 species